AAUUAGUUUCCAGUAUUCUGGAGUUUAUAGGUUUGGAAAUGGGUAAAUUUUCGAAAUUUUCGGAGUAACUUGGUACCAUGACCCGUGGUAAUAAUGAUAAUUGGUUAAAUUUUCGAGUACAUUCGAAGUGAAUUGGUUCUAAUGCGACUGUAAAUUGGUUAAAACGACACCGCGAUAGUCAAAUACAGUAGUUUUAUCUUAUGUAAUGCUAGAUGAAGUAAUCUAUAAAUUAGUUUGUUCAUUGUUAUAAAAAUUUUGAAAUUUUAUUUCAAAAUUUUUAUUUUGUUUGCAUCGGCGAAUAUGUAAUGAUUUAGUUUACGCCCUGUCGAUUAGUAGUGAGCCACUGCAUUUCAGUUGCCAUAAAAAAGCUAAAGCUCAAAACCGUGCUUAGAAAUAGAAAGCUAAAUUAUCCGCUCGACGCGCCAUCUUCUGGUCGGUAUUCACAACAGUUAGGCUUCUUACGAUUUUGCAUCGUGAUGAGAUCCACACUUGAACUCAUUUAAUUUUUGCAAUAAGCUGAUCGGGGUUGCAAAAAGAGGCGUAUAAAAAAAUGUUACCUUGUCCUUGAAAUUUUGCACAAAAGCCCACCAGCUAGGGUGUAUGAGAUGGGGUGCAACACACACAACUGCCGGUGGCUAAGCCAUCAUUUGGCGCGGGUUAGAUUGGGGGGAUCGUAGCUAGUCUAGUCGGCUAUCGUAAGUCACUUUGGUGAAAUCCGUUCAGCGAAUAACAUCGAGCUCGACCGCACUUGAAGGCUCAAUCAGCAAUAGAGCUAUAAGGCUACUCUAGUGCACAGUUAGUGUGGCUUCGAAAAUUGCACUAGCAAACUUGCAUUGACCCUAAGUCGAGUGAGGUUUUUUAUUCGCUGUGAGCAAUUUAAGCUAACUCAGCAGGCAACCCACUGUUCAACGUGGGUGUUUGUUGGGGCUUAUUUCGCUGCCAAUCUCGGGGCCAAGAAGACGGUAUCCACAACGGUGGUUUGGAGUGGAACACGUGCUACAACCGUAGUAUUGUUGCCAAUAUUAGGAGAGCUCGAACACGGUGUACGAUCAACACACCGGUCUCCAUACGGUUCCGCCGAGCCCGUCGAUUGAAGGCCUCACCACCGAUAAGCCAUCCGAGAAUCAACCACUGCCACGUGUUGAAAAAGCCAUCGUACUAGUUAAGUACGAGUCGUGUCUUGGUGCGUUAGCUGAGACACCAACCACAUGGUCGCCUCUGGUUAUUAGUUGGAGGUUGGAAUCUACCGAUGCGUAAAUUGGUUUGCUGAAUCGAAAAGGUCAGAUUAGAUUAAGACACUUGUGAAUAAUCUUAAGAGCUAUUAUGAUUAGUGACGUCACUCAGGGCUACAGGAACACAAUGAACGCUACAAUUAAACAUAUUGUGUUAGCUCAAUUGAAAGUCGUGUGUUGAAAUUGGUGGGAAGCGUUGACGGUUUCAUUGAUUUGGUUUGCGUGGGAGUAAGAUUUUGAUUUGUCCGCAUAGUUGUGGGUUGUGCAAUUCAUCUCAUACUUGUUUAAAAAAAGUUAGGGCCGCAACUCGAUUGGUAAGUUGGGAAGAUUAAGUGGGACUGAGUGUUAAAACUGUUAGCCCGCCUUGAAUCAGAGUCUCUAGCCGGGACGCAAAUCGCGCACCAACAGCCUCUCGGUUUCCGGGAGUGGCGCUAUAAGCUGUUGGCUGUUUCGGGAACUAAAACAUUCGUUACAACAUCAUAUGUGAUGUAAUUUUACAAUUUUUUUCGGGCCACACGAAAUUCUCAACAACACUGAAUUGGAAAUUUCUCAAAAUUACACGACAUGAAAUAUUACAAUACACACGUGAUAAUGUCAUGUAAAAGUUUAAACUGUGAAGAACAGGACCAGACAAACGUGACAAAAACUGUUUAGUUAAGUCGUGCGCCAAACUAUUUUUCCCGCGCGCGAGUAAUCGGUGUUGAUGGUU